UCACAAAUCUCCAAGAAGCCUCGGAAAAGAAGAGAAUAUAUCACAAAGGUCCGGGCUAGUAACCUACAAAAAAAUGUAGUAGCAAGGGGUGAGUAUCAAACUACGCGGUACUCAGCAAGUAAACCUCUAAACACAAGCUAAGGGGAUAGAAUACGGGUACUCCUUACACCCCAACCGAACCUCCACAACUACAACAUGCAUAAAAUCAGCCCAACCUAACAGUUCACAAUUCACAUAGCACGUAUCUCAAUAGCAACAUUCUAACAAUCACAUAUUCUCAACAACAAGUUUAAUAUUCAUCAAUUACAAUCUCCACGACUGCAACCUGCUUAAAACCAGCCCAACUUAACAGUUCACAAUUCACAUAGCACAUAUCUCAACA
rnacentral:lncRNA from 1 species